GUAGUUGUGCACCACGGCGAACUCCAGCACCUUCCGGCCCAGCGCCUUGGCGAUGCCCUUGCCUCGGAAACACGCUCCAGGAUCGCAGAGAGCCUCCCACCCCAGAGAGCAGAGUCUUCACCCCUGCGGCAUCCGGCAUGGGGGAACCGGUGUGGCUCAGCGGCUGGGGGCCAGCCCGAGGGUGGAGAACAACCCCCACCCCCCCUAGAGCCCAGACCCAGCUCCUCCAGCUAUAGAAGGCCACAGAGGCUGGGACAAAACCCUUCAGCUAAGCGGCCCAGCGAUCAGGCCAGAAGUGAAGGCCAAGGCUCAAGGACCCUGGCACUGCAGGCAACCCCAUCCCCGCAAGGCACACCAGAUGGGACCCACAGAGCCCAGCGGCCCUUGCCCCACCGCAGCAGGCGCCAGGGAGACGCAUCCACAGCAGGGAACGGUGGAGCCACUGCGUCGCAGGGCCAGCUCAGGUCACUCAGCGGGAGGAACCGGCCGUGCCUCCCCCAGCCCCGCUGACACCGGAGGCCUCGGUCACCCAGAAGGCUCAGGUCACAGGGGCCCCGGCUCAGGCCCACCCACGCCGGCCCUCGCCCAGGCCUGCCCUGAGGUCGCUGGAGUGCGUGCCCCCGAGGGCUGUCUGGGGCGGAGGUCGGGGAGCGGCGGGAGCG
rnacentral:lncRNA from 10 species